UACGUAGGGUCCGAGCGUUGUCCGGAGUUACUGGGCGUAAAGCGCGCGCAGGCGGCGGUAUAAGCAUGGCGUGAAAGCCCCAGGCUCAACCUGGGAGGGUCGUCGUGGACUGUACCGCUUGAGGGCGAUAGGGGCUGGUGGAAUGCCUGGUGUAGUGGUGAAAUGCGUAGAGAUCGGGAGGAACACCAGAGGCGAAAGCGGCGACCUGGACAGGUACUGACACUCAACUACGAAAGCGUGGGGAGCAAACAGG
rnacentral:rRNA from 1 species